AGCAAAGCUGACAGUUUGCUUAUCACUUAUUCUCACAAGAUGUGCACAGUUCUCAAACAGGACCUUUUCUUGCAGGAUCUAUGGCCUGAAGAGAAUGAAACCACUGAAAAAUGAAAUAGAAUUCUUCAAGGGACUCUAUUCCACGGAAAGAAUGUUGCUACUGGAAAACUUCUACAGAGCUGCGUGACUUUAUCAUCUUUUAAGAUUCAUCAGCAUUCAGCGGAGAACCAGACAGAGAAAAAACGUGGUAUGAUCUGCGACAUCAAGGCAAAGGGCCCAAAAGUUGUUCUGGCCCUGGGAAAGGGUCCCAGAGUCAGACUGGCCAGCUUUUACCACGGCUGAUGGUCCAGCAUGCCGGCCGGAGCCCCCGCCUCCUUGGGGCACCUUGAGAAGACCAGGCAACAGCGCUGGAGUCUCCGUCGGAAAGACUCAAGAGAAAGUUGUGCCUUGUUCUGCCUCUCCUCAGCCCUGGAAGUGCUUCCUGCUGUGCACCCUGUGUCCUGGGGGUGGGACCCCCUUCCUCCCGGAGGCCUCCUCUCAGAGCCCCUGAUUAACUAGCGGGAACAUCCUCUCCCUCUAUUUCUGCUCAUUUCUUGGCUUCUACGCCUCUACAAAUGUGGUUUCCAGACCUUGAGUUUUCA
rnacentral:lncRNA from 1 species